rnacentral:rRNA from 1 species
GUCCUAGCUGUAAACGAUGGCAACUAGGUGUGGGAGGUAUCGACCCCUCCUGUGCCGACGCUAACGCAUUAAGUUGCCCGCCUGGGGAGUACGGCCGCAAGGUUAAAACUCAAAGGAAUUGACGGGGGCCCGCACAAGCGGUGGAGCAUGUGGUUUAAUUCGACGCUACGCGAAGAACCUUACCUGGGCUCGAACGACUGGUGGUACUCCUUCCGAAAGGUUGGGGGACCCGCAAGGGAGCCAGCCGAGGUGCUGCAUGGGUUGUCGU